rnacentral:tRNA from 1 species
GUCAGGAUAGCUCAGUUGGUAGCAGAGGACUGAAAAUCCUCG